GCAGGGGUGCGGCAAGCACAUCGACUCUGUCAUGAAGCCCAUACCGGUACAGGAGCAGUGCGCGUGCAAGCCGCGAUCCCAGGAUGAGUUCGAUAAAUGCCGGUAAUCUCAAUAGGGUGGAUGCCUAAAGAGCGUCUCGUAGCUGGAGAAUCAGCUGGCAUGCUCGCAGUGAGACUUCAUUUCUUCGGUGUGUCGGAAUGGGAAAGUCAAAGAAAGGGACGUCACAAGAUCAUCCAGAAGGAACGGGCAGGCUGGCAAGCGACGCCAUAUUUCAGAAAAGGCGGCAGUUGAAUAUGACAGUAUGUGCCUUGUCUAUCGAAAAUGCGCAUAUCUAAAGUGGCGGAAUAAACAAUCUAUGCAUGCGGCAUAUAAGGCAGGUCCACACCUCCACUGCACCUGUAACCGCCUAUUUCAUUGUACGCGCAGAUUUUCUAGAACGGCUCUCAGGGGAUGCUAGAGAAGAUGUGAGUGGUGUGGCUACUGCUAUGGCCUUGUUGUGUGUGUCCAUCCGAUGAACCUGUGAGAGAAACUUUGUUGGAAGGACACCCACGGGACAGCAGCGUGGAGUUUACAGUCCGCAACAACGGAGCGAAAGUGUAUCUGUCAGUCAGGGGAAGAUCCGUUGUCGGAGACGUGCCUACAGAAGCUGUAUCGUCAAAGAUAGUAGACGGCAAGGGUAUACAGAUCUGAAACAGUUUCCGUCGUGGUUCAUUAUCAGUGGACGCCGAUGCCGCUGCCAACGGUUUGUAACAUGUGUGAAAGCCGAUGAUUUGCGCAUUGUGGACCGUCGCGCCUAGCAAACUCUUCCAGGUUAAACUGCCACGCACCGAUGAAAGGUUUACGGCGGCGAAGUCCUGUGCAUGGGCUGCAUUCAUCCCCAGAAAUGCAUUUGGUUUGCCCUUCCAAUCUAGUCAAAACCGGUUUUUCCCAGUGUGGCCGUCUCCACCACUCCCGCCGGCGUGUUAUUUUUUUCAUUUCAAGAGCUUCUCGAGUUUUCUUCUCUGCGUUUCUAAAACUCUCCAAAAUGUGUUACGAAGUAAAAUGUACACACUGUGGAAAGCGGACGUGGUAAGUGCGUGUCUGCACGGAAAUUCACGCAGUCUGAAAACAGCUUCCAACAAACUCUGCAUGCUGAUUACUGCGCGAGUGUGCAGUUUCACCAUGACAAUCAAACUGGUCUGACGAAGAGAAUCCAUUGCAACGGCUUCUCGUGGUAUUUGUUGGUGACAAGGCUUUCGUGUCCUUUACAUCCUCAUACGUUUUGUGCCACGCAGCGUGAACAAUUAUGUAUUAAGUGUGUACCACUGAUUGUGGAAGGCUGCCGAGAAGGUGUGAGCCCGCAGGCAAGGAAUCUUGGAAGAGCCUACUCGUUUCCCUUGAAUCCAG
rnacentral:lncRNA from 1 species